GAUGAACGCUGGCGGCGUGCCUAAUACAUGCAAGUCGAGCGAACGGACGAGAAGCUUGCUUCUCUGAUGUUAGCGGCGGACGGGUGAGUAACACGUGGAUAACCUACCUAUAAGACUGGGAUAACUUCGGGAAACCGGAGCUAAUACCGGAUGAUAUUUUGAACCGCAUGGUUCAAAAGUGAAAGACGGUCUUGCUGCCACUUAUAGAUGGAUCCGCGCUGCAUUAGCUAGUUGGUAAGGUAACGGCUUACCAAGGCAACGAUGCAUAGCCGACCUGAGAGGGUGAUCGGCCACACUGGAACUGAGACACGGUCCAGACUCCUACGGGAGGCAGCAGUAGGGAAUCUUCCGCAAUGGGCGAAAGCCUGACGGAGCAACGCCGCGUGAGUGAUGAAGGUAUUCGGAUCGUAAAACUCUGUUAUUAGGGAAGAACAUAUGUGUAAGUAACUGUGCACAUCUUGACGGUACCUAAUCAGAAAGCCACGGCUAACUACGUG
rnacentral:rRNA from 1 species